AUUGAACGCUGGCGGCAGGCCUAACACAUGCAAGUCGAACGAGUGGCGGACGGGCGAGUAAUGUCUGGGAAACUGCCUGAUGGAGGGGGAUAACUACUGGAAAAGGUAGCUAAUACCGCAUACCAUCAGAUGUGCCCAGAUGGGAUUAGCUAGUUGGUGGGGUAACGGCGCACCAAGGCGACGAUCCCUAGCUGGUCUGAGAGGAGGAACUGCCACACUGGAACUGAGACACGGCCCAGACUCCUACGGGAGGCAGCAGUGGGGAAUAUUGCACAAUGGGCGCAAGCCUGAUCCAGCCAUGCCGCGUGUAUGAAGAAGGCCUUCGGGUUGUAAAGUACUUUCAGCGGGGAGGCGUUACCCGCAGAAGAAGCACCGGCUAACUCCGUGCCAGCAGCCGCGGUAAUAC
rnacentral:rRNA from 1 species